rnacentral:rRNA from 1 species
CCCCGCCCCACCGCUCGAGAGUUUGAUCCUGGCUCAGGACGAACGCUGGCGGCGUGCCUAAUACAUGCAAGUCGAGCGCAGGAAACCAGAUGACCCCUUCGGGGUGAUUCUGGCGGAAUGAGCGGCGGACGGGUGAGUAACACGUGGGCAACCUGCCUGUAAGACUGGGAUAACUUCGGGAAACCGGAGCUAAUACCGGAUAGUAUUUCCUUUCUCCUGAUUGGAAAUGGAAAGACGGUUUCGGCUGUCACUUACAGAUGGGCCCGCGGUGCAUUAGCUAGUUGGUGGGGUAAUGGCCCACCAAGGCGACGAUGCAUAGCCGACCUGAGAGGGUGAUCGGCCACACUGGGACUGAGACACGGCCCAGACUCCUACGGGAGGCAGCAGUAGGGAAUCUUCCGCAAUGGACGAAAGUCUGACGGAGCAACGCCGCGUGAGCGAUGAAGGCCUUCGGGUCGUAAAGCUCUGUUGUUAGGGAAGAACAAGUACGAGAGUAACUGCUCGUACUUGACGUACCUA